rnacentral:siRNA from 1 species
AACGUCUCAAAUUCCCUUUCUCCU